AUCACGCUAAACCAAGCUUGCUGGCUAGUUAGCUAUCAGAAGUAGACCGGGGCAGUUUGACGUUGGACUAAACUUUGUGGAGAUUGUGUGACCUACUGUUCGUACAUCAAUCGAACCAUGUACGACGAAUCUGAGCUAAGCAAGAAACACGAGAAUAUAUUAGGGAAAAGGGCGGAGUUGCUGGAACAAAUGGAGAUUCAAUAUCAACAUCAGAAAGUCAAGAAGAAACAACAAACCAUGAUGUCCAAGGCUGCGCAGGAAAGAAAUACUCAACUGUUGGGGGACCUUAAAACUUUGGAAGAUAAACUGAGAACGAAGCAACCAUUACAUCCAGAUGUACUCACCCUUGAGACUUGUUACUGGGCAUCUGUGGAAGAGAAUCUUCCAGAAUGGGAACCCUUUCUCCUGGGCAGAGGUCCAGCUCCUAGUCAGCGCAGGGCCCGGUCACCUGGUCGGCGAAGGCAGGAGAAGGCAGGUGUACCUCGAGACACACAAGACCGAGGGCUUCCCCCUCGUCCUAGAAAACCCCAUGCUGUAUGACAAAUAAUUCAGAUAGCCCAUGUGUUUAUUUUAUUCAAUCUUGUAUAAAAAUAAGACCUAUGGCAUAUGGAUGCAUAUGUUUUUAAAAUGGCACAGACAUUUUAAUGAGGAUGCCAAAGAAGAAUUGUUAUAUCUAUAAAGAUUUUUUAUACUAAAUAGAUUUUUGUAUUUUAUCAAGGAAGAUAUUUGAUUGUAUUUAUUAAUAUAUUUCCAUCUGGCUUAAACAAAUGGCUUUCACUGCAGCACAGUCUCACAUUUGCCACUAGAGGGAGCAAAGAUCUCAUUAAAAAACAGAUAGAGAAACCUGCACCACAUAUUACACUAAAGAAGCUGAAUUUUGUCAAAUUAGAUCACAGAGGUGUGUGUGCGUGUGUGUGUGUGUGUGUGUGUGUGUGUGUGUGUGUGUAUAUAUGUAUACUGUCCAGUAGAUCCAGUCUGUGACUUUCAAUUUUAGACUUUUUGGGUUUCCAAUUAAGCUGUUUAAACACUUGAGGCCAAGCUGUUUUAACAUGUUCUAGUGUUCUUAUCUGGUACUCUGUAGUUUGAACUCUUUAAAAUGGGUAAGGAGCUGCUGUUAUAUCUUAUUCUUGUUGACGUGCAUGGAGAAAAUAAUGUGAAUAAAAAUAGUAUUGCAAUAAAUGA